rnacentral:rRNA from 1 species
UUCUAUGGUCAAGCUACUAAGGGCAUGCGGUGGAUGCCUUGGCGCAGAGAGGCGAUGAAGGACGCAGCAAGCUGCGAUAAGCCCCGGUGAGCCGCAAGCAGGCCUCGACCCGGGGAUCUCCGAAUGGGGCAACCCGAUCCGAGUCAUGUCGGAUCACCCCCCUCCGAAUCCAAUAGGAGGACGGGAGCGAACGAGGGGAAGUGAACCAUCUCAGUACCCUCAGGAAGAGAAAGCAAGAGCGAUUUCCCUAGUAGCGGCGAGCGAAAGGGAAACAGCCAAAACCGGUGGUAUGCCAAGCUCGUGAGCGUUGUAUCGCCGGGGUAGCGGGAGCGUGCCGGGCCCCAUCACGAUGGGGCCGGGAAGUGAGAAACCGCCACGUUAGCCGAAGGAUCUGGAAAGUUCAGCGAUACAGGGUAACAGCCCCGUAGGCGAAAACGUGACGGCUUCCUGGGUGCGCCACCCAAGUACCACGGGACACGAGGAACCCUGUGGGAAUCUGCGAGGACCAUCUCGCAAGGCUAAAUACUCCUCCGCGACCGAUAGUGAACCAGUACCGUGAGGGAAAGGUGAAAAGAACCCCUGUUAGGGGAGUGAAAUAGUACCUGAAACCGCAUGUCUACAAGCAGUGGAAGGGCUAUGCCCGUCCAGCGAUGGAUGGGAAUGCCCGACCGCGUGCCUUUUGCAUAAUGAGCCGGCUAGUUAUUCUGCGUGGCAAGGCUAAGCGAUAAGCGGAUGAGCUGAGGGUAGGGGUGAAAGGCUAAUCAAACUCAGUUAUAGCUCGUUCUCCCCGAAAUAUCUUUAGGGAUAGCCUCGAGUGUUUGUUGACGGCGGUAGAGUACUCGAUGGACUAGGGGCCUUACCAGGUUGCUGAAUCCAACGAAACUCCGAAUUCCGUCAACCCACAGCUCGGGAGUCAGACUGCGGGGGAUAAGCUCCGUGGUCGAGAGGGGAACAACCCAGACCGCCAGCUAAGGUCCCAAAAUGCAGGCUAAGUGGGAAAGGAUGUGGGGUUGCCGUGACAACCAGGAGGUUGGCUUAGAAGCAGCCAUCCUUUAAAGAAAGCGUAACAGCUCACUGGUCAAGCGACUCUGUGCCGACAAUGUAACGGGGCUUAAGCCUGCUACCGAAGCUGCGGACACGCUGGCUCUCCGGAGCCGGCGUUUGGUAGGGGAGCAUUCCGUGAGAGACACGAGCCGGAUCGACAAGGACCGGUGCUGGCUCACGGAAGAGACUCUGCCGGCACAAGUAGCGAUAAAGUCCGCGAGAAUCGGACUCGCCGAAAGUCUAAGGUUUCCUGAGGAAGGUUCGUCCGCUCAGGGUUAGUCGGUCCCUAAGCCGAGGCCGAAAGGCGUAGGCGAUGGACGGCAGGUCAACAUUCCUGCACCAGUCAGUGCACGUUAUCACGAUGGGGUGACGCAGAAGGCUAGGCAUACGGGGUGAUGGACGUCCCCGGCCGCGAUCGUAGGGGGCCUUCCUAGGCAAAUCCGGGAAGGCAUCAACUCCGAGGAAAGCGGGGAAGUGCGGCUUCGGCCAAACCAACUUGCCGACGCCAUGCUGCCGAGAAAAACCUCUAAGGAGCGCAUUGGCUGACCGUACCGCAAACCGUCACAGGUAGACAGGGAGAGAAUCCCUAGGCGCGUGAGAGAACCCUCGCUAAGGAACUCGGCAAAAUAGCCCCGUAACUUCGGGAUAAGGGGUGCCCCACUAGAGUAAGGAGGUUCGCCCUCCGAGCUCGAAGGGGUCGCAGUGAAUUGGCCCAGGCGACUGUUUACUAAAAACACAGGACUCUGCGAAGUAAAAAAGACGACGUAUAGGGUCUGACGCCUGCCCGGUGCCGGAAGGUUAAGAGGAGGGGUUAGCCGCAAGGCGAAGCUCUGAAUCGAAGCCCCGGUAAACGGCGGCCGUAACUAUAACGGUCCUAAGGUGGUAUCCGCUGCCUUAGUAAAAUCCGGCUAAAUGCUGGAAUAUCUGAGAAUCUCACGCUACGACUAGCGAGGUGAUCGCCAGUCGUGACAAUGCGAUGAGUGCAGACAAUCAGCAGGAAAGGCUAAUCAGUCCGUGGGUGAACCGCCAAGAACCCAGGACAGAGCUGGUUAGAAUCCUCAGAGACUACACGCCGGACAUCCGAGACAUCGGAUGAAGAUAUAGUCCCGACUGCAUGGCGACAUGCAGGGAUGCCGAACCCGACGCGGCAUCCGCUCAAUAGCAACGAUUGAGUAAGACAUCAAGCGAAAUUCCUUGUCGGGUAAGUUCCGACCUGCACGAAUGGCGUAACGAUCUGGGCGCUGUCUCGGCGAGGGGCUCAGCGAAUCUGUAGCACCUGUGAAGAUGCAGGUUACCCGUGGCUAGACGGAAAGACCCCGUGCACCUUUACUACAACUUAGCGUUGGAUUUCGGUGCUGUCUGCGCAGAAUAGGUGGGAGGCUGUGAAGCGUGGGUUUCGGCCUGCGUGGAGCCAACAGUGAGAUACCACCCUUACGGCUCUGAGGUUCUAACCUGGGACCGUGAAUCCGGUCCAGGGACAACGUUAGGCGGGUAGUUUGACUGGGGCGGUCGCCUCCUAAAGUGUAACGGAGGCGCCCGAAGGUUCCCUCAGGCUGUUUGGAAAUCAGCCGAAGAGUGCAAAGGCAAAAGGGAGCUUGACUGCGAGACCUACAAGUCGAGCAGGUGCGAAAGCAGGGCUUAGUGAUCCGGCGGUCCCGCAUGGAAGGGCCGUCGCUCAACGGAUAAAAGGUACGCCGGGGAUAACAGGCUUAUCCUCCCCAAGAGUUCACAUCGACGGCAAGGUUUGGCACCUCGAUGUCGGCUCAUCGCAUCCUGGGGCUGAAGUAGGUCCCAAGGGUUCGGCUGUUCGCCGAUUAAAGCGGUACGUGAGCUGGGUUUAGAACGUCGUGAGACAGUUCGGUCCCUAUCUGCCAUGGGCGCAGGAUACUUGAGAGGAGCCUUUCCUAGUACGAGAGGACCGGAAAGGACGAACCGCCAGUGUUCCGGUUGUCCCGCCAGGGGCAGCGCCGGGUAGCUGUGUUCGGAAAGGAUAAGCGCUGAAGGCAUAUAAGCGCGAAGCCCCCCUCGAGAUGAGGUAUCCCCCACCGCAAGGUGGCUAAAGGACCCUGGGAGACGACCAGGUUGAUAGGCCGGGUGUGUAAGCGCGGCGACGCGUUGAGCUUACCGGUACUAAUCGUCCGUGAGGCUUGACCAUAGAU